UAAAACAGUAUCUAAUACACUCACCAAGGACAUCAUCUGUGCAUAUAAAUACAUUGCUAUCUGUUGAAAUGUGAAAAUCAUGUGUCAAUAAUAAAUGACUUUAUUAAUGAUCACCUGUAAGAAACACGUGACACUCUUCCUGACUUAAGGGUCUGGGACUAGAAAUUGUCAUGUCUGGGUUGUGUACUUUCAGAUUCCCAGAUUGCAGCCAUGUAGGGCUGCUAUAGUCUUCCUGUAUGUGUCCACUCUGUCCCUUUUUACACAUGGCUUCUGGAAAUCCUAUUGGCAUUCAUCUGUUUUAUGACACCAUUCCCACUUUCAACCAAUUAUCACCAGGUAGAGUUUUGAGAUUACCACAUGGGACCAAAUGUGCCUUAGUGCUGAGCAUCUUUGAUCCUGCAUAGACGUGAUAUUUUUACUGUGAAACCUAACAACGUGAUCUCUCAUCCCUUUAUCCAGAUCCUACUCUUGUUUUGUCCCCAUCCCUCUAUCCAGAUCCUACUCCUGUUCUGUUCCUGACCUGAAGAUGUCAGGUAAUAUUCUCAAACCUUGGCUCACAGACCAUCAGAGCUGUCCAGGUAUUAAAGGACCUUUCAUUGGUGGAGCCACAAAGGAGGUCAGGAGCACCAUCCGCAGACAUAAAGAUGUCACUCUCCUGACCCAAGCGCAGUUCCAACUUUUAAGCUCUCUUGAGCAGAAUAUUUACAUCAAUAAUAAAAUUCCCUGGAAAUCUUACCUUGAGCUGAAGACCUAUUAGCUAAAAGCAGAAGACCUGCUAAAUGAAGGCCUCACAGAGGAAGCGCUUGUGAUGUAUCACAAAUUUUCAACACUCUUUAUGGAGAAACUCAGACAAGGCCCAAAUAAGUGUCUUUCAGCUCGAAUAAGAUCCAAAAUCAACAAGACUCUAAAUAACGUUUUUGAAAAAGCUGAGAGCCUAAAAUUCACACUCCGAAGACAUCAUCCUAAGGAGUUCGAAGGCUACCUGGCAGAUAAG